GUAGCCACAAAUUUAAAGGCCCAUCAAAACCUAAAAUACCCACAUCGUCCCGCAUUCCUGUCUGUGUCCAGUGUCCACCACGCGUCUUUUUGCACUUGUCCGCUCUUCACGAGGAAGCAAUGGAUUUUUUGUUCAAGGGAGUAAAUGAAGAGACCCUCUUUUGGUUUUGCAAUUAUAAUUCUACUGCAACUAUUAGCUGAUUCUAUAUGGAAGCAAUGGAUUUUUUGUUCAAGGGAG
rnacentral:misc_RNA from 1 species